UACGAAGGGGGCUAGCGUUGUUCGGAAUUACUGGGCGUAAAGCGCGCGUAGGCGGUUUUCCAAGUCGGGCGUGAAAGCCCCGGGCUCAACCCGGGAAAUGCGCUCGAAACUUGAAGACUGGAGGCCGGAAGAGGGUAGUGGAAUUCCCAGUGUAGAGGUGAAAUUCGUAGAUAUUGGGAAGAACACCAGUGGCGAAGGCGGCUACCUGGUCCGGAUCUGACGCUGAGGCGCGAAAGCGUGGGGAGCAAGCAGG
rnacentral:rRNA from 1 species